rnacentral:rRNA from 1 species
UACGGGGGGGCAAGCGUUGUUCGGAAUUACUGGGCGUAAAGGGUUCGUAGGUGGCCCGCUAAGUCACACGUGAAAUCCCUCAGCUUAACUGGGGAACUGCGUGUGAGACUGGCAGGCUUGAGUGCAGGAGAGGAACGCGGAAUUCCAGGUGUAGCGGUGAAAUGCGUAGAGAUCGGGAGGAAGGCCGGUGGCGAAGGCGGCGCUCUGGAACGUUACUGACGCUGAGACACGAAAGCGUGGGGGAGCAAACAGG